UGGGGAAUAUUGGACAAUGGGCGCAAGCCUGAUCCAGCCAUGCCGCGUGAGUGAUGAAGGCCUUAGGGUCGUAAAGCUCUUUCGCCUGUGAAGAUAAUGACGGUAGCAGGUAAAGAAACCCCGGCUAACUCCGUGCCAGCAGCCGCGGUAAUACGGAGGGGGUUAGCGUUGUUCGGAAUUACUGGGCGUAAAGCGCACGUAGGCGGACCAGAAAGUUGGGGGUGAAAUCCCGGGGGCUCAACCCCGGAACUGCCUCCAAAACUAUUGGUCUAGAGUUCGAGAGAGGUGAGUGGAAUUCCAAGUGUAGAGGUGAAAUUCGUAGAUAUUUGGAGGAACACCAGUGGCGAAGGCGGCUCACUGGCUCGAUACUGACGCUGAGGUGCGAAAGUGUGGGGAGCAAACAGGAUUAGAUACCCUGGUAGUCCACACCGUAAAACGAUGAAUGCCAGUCGUCGGGUAGCAUGCUAUUCGGUGACACACCUAACGGAUUAAGCAUUCCGCCUGGGGAGUACGGUCGCAAGAUUAAAACUCAAAUGAAUUG
rnacentral:rRNA from 1 species